CCUACGGGAGGCAGCAGUGAGGAAUAUUGGUCAAUGGGCGCGAGCCUGAACCAGCCAAGUCGCGUGAGGGAAGACGGUCCUAUGGAUUGUAAACCUCUUUUGUCGGGGAGCAAAAGACGCCAUGCGUGGCGUUCCGAGCGUACCCUAAGAAAAAGCAUAGGCAAACUCCGGGCCAGCAGCCGCGGUAAUACGGGGGAUGCGAGCGUUAUCCGGAUUUAUUUGGUUUAAAGGGUGCGCAGGCGGAAGAUCAAGUCAGCGGUAAAAUUGAGAGGCUCAACCUCUUCGAGCCGUUGAAACUGGUUGUCUUGAGUGAGUGAGAGGUAUGCGGAAUGCGUGGUGUAGCGGUGAAAUGCAUAGAUAUCACGCAGAACUCCGAUUGCGAAGGCAGCAUACCGGCGCUCAACUGACGCUCAUGCACGAAAGUGUGGGUAUCGAACAGGAUUAGAUACCCGGGUAGUC
rnacentral:rRNA from 1 species